UCAGACGGUCGGAUGGCUGCUCCUGAACGGGCGCAUCGCGUGUUGUUCAGGGGAGGAAAGUCCGGGCUCCACGGGAACACGGUGCCGGGUAACGCCCGGCGGGGGCGACCCUAGGGAAAGUGCCACAGAAAGCAAACCGCCC
rnacentral:RNase_P_RNA from 1 species